UUUGGCAGUGAUGAUUAGAUUACUAAUCCCAGCUCUAUGAGACCUUCGUUUUGUAUGAAGCUCAGGGACAAUACUUUUUUCUCACGUCUCGUCUGAGCCACUCCAUU